rnacentral:lncRNA from 1 species
GAAAUCUUCAGUGGUAGUAUCAUUAAAUACUGUUAAUAGUAUAAGGUAAAUGUUAUCCCAUGAAAAUAGACUGUUUUUCAAAUUAUUUCACUUUGAUCUUCUAAAGCAGAAAAAUAAAAACGAUAAAUAUUUAUGCUUUUGAAUUUUAGAUGGAAAGUAAAGUACUUUAUAUUUUUAAAAAUUCUGGUAAUUUGAACAUUAAAAAAUAUUCAGGACACUAUUAUAGCUAACAAAUAAUAAUAUGUCGGUUUUCCAAGAGCACCAGUCAUAAUUAUUUUCAUCUUCACUCUAUCUGAUCGUUGAGAAAAUAGCAAAGCAUCCUCUUUCUUUCAAGAUCUCUCUCCUUUAACAAGUCAUAAUAUAGAACUGAAAAUACACAGCAGUAGUUCUGUGCUUAGAAGAACUUUUAUG